rnacentral:rRNA from 1 species
UAGGGAAUCUUCCACAAUGGACGCAAGUCUGAUGGAGCAACGCCGCGUGAGUGAAGAAGGUUUUCGGACCGUAAAGCUCUGUUGUUGGUGAAGAAGGAUAGAGGUAGUAACUGGCCUUUAUUUGACGGUAAUCAACCAGAAAGUCAUGGGCUAACUACGUGCCAGCAGCCGCGGUAAUACGUAGGUGGCAAGCGUUGUCCGGAUUUAUUGGGCGUAAAGCGAGCGCAGGCGGAAGAAUAAGUCUGAUGUGAAAGCCCUCGGCUUAACCGAGGAAUUGCAUCGGAAACUGUUUUUCUUGAGUGCAGAAGAGGAGAGUAGAGCUCCAUGUGUAGCGGUGGAAUGCGUAGAUAUAUGGAAGAAUACCAGUGGCGAAGGCGGCUCUCUGGUCUGCAACUGACGCUGAGGCUCGAAAGCAUGGGUAGCGAACAGGAUUAGAUACCCUGGUAGUCCAUGCCGUAAACGAUGAGUGCUAAGUGUUGGGAGGCUUCCGCCUCUCAGUGCUGCAGCUAACGCAUUAAGCACUCCGCCUGGGGGAGUACGACCGCAAGGUUGAAAC